rnacentral:rRNA from 1 species
UGGGGAAUAUUGCACAAUGGGCGAAAGCCUGAUGCAGCAACGCCGCGUGAGCGAUGAAGUCCUUCGGGACGUAAACUCCUUUCGAUCGGGACGAUAAUGACGGUACCGAGAGAAGAAGCCCCGGCUAACUUCGUGCCAGCAGCCGCGGUAAUACGAGGGGGGCGAGCGUUGUUCGGAAUUAUUGGGCGUAAAGGGUGCGUAGGUGGUUUGGUAAGUUUCGUGUGAAAACUCUGGGCUUAACUCAGAGCCUGCACGAAAAACUGCCGGGCUUGAGUAUGGGAGAGGUGAGUGGAAUUCCUGGUGUAGCGGUGAAAUGCGUAGAUAUCAGGAGGAACACCUGUGGCGAAAGCGGCUCACUGGACCAUAACUGACACUGAGGCACGAAAGCUAGGGGAGCAAACA